AUUGAACGCUGGCGGCAGGCCUAACACAUGCAAGUCGAGCGGAUGACGGGAGCUUGCUCUUUGAUUCAGCGGCGGACGGGUGAGUAAUGCCUAGGAAUCUGCCUGGUAGCGGGGGGCAACGUUUCGAAAGGAACGCUCAUACCGCAUACGUACUAGGGGAGCAAGCAGGGGACCUUCGGGCCUUGCGAUAUCAGCUGAGCCUAGGUCGAAUUAGCUAGUAGGUGAGGUUAUGGCUCACCUAGGCGACGAUCCGUAACUGGUCUGAGAGGAUGAUCAGUCACACUGGAACUGAGACACGGUCCAGACUCCUACGGGAGGCAGCAGUGGGGAAUAUUGGACAAUGGGCGAAAGCCUGAUCCAGCCAUGUCGCGUGUGUGAAGAAGGUCUUCGGAUUGUAAAGCACUUUAAGUUGGGAGGAAGGGCAGUAAGUUAAUACCUUGCUGUUUUGACGUUACCGACAGAAUAAGCACCGGCUAACUCUGUGCCAGCCGCCGCGGUAAGAC
rnacentral:rRNA from 1 species